rnacentral:lncRNA from 1 species
UUCGGAGGGCGCGAGAGGAGCGGGCGGGUGCUGCUGAGUAAUCCCCGCGGCGGCGGCCGGACGCCCACCUCCCACGCCGCGCCGCAGCCGGGCCGCGGCUCCUCCCUCCGCGGUCCUUCCCUCCUCUUCCCUCCCGUCUUCUCCCCUCCCCUCCCCUCCCCUCCCGGCUCCGCUUGGCUCCGGGCAGGUAGAGCCGGGCUCCGGGCGCGCGCGGGGCCGCAGCAGCUGCUCCCGAUCUCGCCUCGGCCCAGCGCAGGGCCUCGCACGCCCAUGGCCGGCUCGGAGCAGCAGCGGCCGCGGCGGCGGGACGACGGAGACUCGGACGCGGCAGCGGCGGCGGCGGCGCCCCUGCAGGACGCGGAGCUGGCCCUGGCCGGCAUCAACAUGCUGCUCAACAACGGCUUCAGGGAGUCGGACCAGCUUUUCAAACAAUACAGUGUCAAAUCAACAGUGCCUUGACAUCUUUCCACACUGCUUUGGAACUUGCAGUAGACCAGAGAGAAAUUCAACAUGUCUGUCUGUAUGAAAUUGGUUGGUGCAGCAUGAUAGAGCUCAAUUUCAAGGAUGCAUUUGAUUCCUUUGAGAGGCUAAAAAAUGAGUCCAGGUGGUCCCAGUGCUAUUAUGCCUACUUGACUGCAGUUUGUCAGGGAGCCACUGGUGAUGUGGAUGGGGCACAGAUUGUCUUUAAAGAAGUUCAGAAACUCUUC